GUGGUGGUGGUGGUGAUGGUGAUGGUGUUGAUGGUGAUGGUGUUGUUGGUGUUGGUGUUGGUGAUGGUGGUGAUGGUGUUGAUGGUGAUGGUGGUGGUAGUGGUGGUGAUGGUGUUGGUGGUCAUGGUGUUGUUGGUGUUGGUGGUGGUGGUGAUGGUGUUGUUGGUGUUGGUGGUGGUGGUGGUGGUGAUGGUGUUGUUGGUGUUGGUGGUGGUGGUGUUGAUGGUGAUGGUGUUGUUGGUGUUGGUGGUGGUGGUGGUGAUGGUGUUGGUGGUGGUGGUGGUGGUGAUGGUGUUGUUGGUGGUGGUGGUGGUGGUGAUGGUGUUGUUGGUGUUGGUGUUGGUGUUGGUGGUGGUGGUUAUGGUGUUGAUGGUGAUGGUGUUGUUGGUGUUGGUGGUGGUGGUCAUGGUGUUGUUGGUGUUGGUGUUGUUGGUGGUGGUGAUGGUGUUGAUGGUGAUGGUGUUGUUGGUGUUGGUGGUGGUGGUGAUGGUGUUGGUGUUGGUGUUGGUGGUGAUGGUGUUGUUGGUGUUGGUGGUGGUGGUGGUCAUGGUGUUGUUGGUGUUGUUGGUGGUGGUGAUGGUGUUGAUGGUGAUGGUGUUGUUGGUGUUGGUGAUGGUGUUGGUGGUGGUGGUGAUGGUGUUGAUGGUGAUGGUGAUGGUGUUGUUGGUGUUGGUGGUGGUGGUGGUGAUGGUGUUGGUGGUGGUGUUGUUGGUGUUGAUGGUGUUGUUGUUGGUGUUGGUGCUGGUGGUGGUGGUGAUGGUGUUGAUGGUGAUGGUGUUGUUGUUGGUGGUGGUGAUGGUGGUGGUGGUGGUGGUGUUGAUGGUGAUGGUGUUGUUGUUGGUGUUGUUGGUGGUGGUGAUGGUGUUGAUGGUGAUGGUGGUGUUGUUGUUGGUGGUGAUGAUGGUGAUGGUGUUGGUGGUGGUGUUGUUGGUGUUGGUGGUGGUGGUGGUGAUGGUGAUGGUGUUGUUGGUGUUGAUGAUGGUGUUGUUGUUGGUGUUGGUGGUGGUGGUAAUGGUGGUGGUGGUGAUGGUGUUGAUGGUGUUGUUGGUGAUGGUGGUGGUGGUGGUGAUGGUGUUGUUGGUGUUGGUGGUGGUGGUGUUGAUGGUGAUGGUGUUGUUGUUGGUGGUGUUGGUGAUGGUGGUGGUGGUGGUGGUGGUGGUGAUGGUGUUGAUGGUGAUGGGGUUGUUGUUGGUGGUGGUGAUGGUGUUGUUGGUGGUGGUGGUGAUGGUGGUGGUGGUGAUGGUGUUGAUGGUGAUGGUGUUGUUGUUGGUGGUGGUGAUGGUGUUGUUGGUGGUGGUGUUGAUGGUGAUGGUGUUGUUGGUGGUGAUGGUGUUGUUGGUGGUGGUGGAUGGUGUUGUUGGUGGUGGUGUGUGGUGAUGGUGUUGUUGGUGGUGGUGUUGUGGGGGGGGGGGGGGGGGGGGGGGGGGGGGGGUUGGUGUGGGGGGUGGUGGGGGUGGUGUUGUGUUGGUGGUGUGGUGUGGGGGGUGUGGUGUUGUUGGUGGUGGUGUUGA
rnacentral:lncRNA from 1 species